UUUGCUCCUCGUGACCUCUUUCUUUGUUGUUCAUGUCAGACGCCGCCGCCGACUCUAUCAAAACUAGCUGCGCAUCUCAUCCACCUCUUCGCUCUCCCACCCUAAUGAUAUCUAUUUGUUAAAUUUAAGCACAUCAUGGUCAUGUGUGUUUUAGUGAGGUUGUGUGCUUCUCGCUUGACAAAAAGAUCACGUCGGAAGGAUUUGUCUUUGUUCAUAGGACCAAUACAAUAAAGAUUAUGUGGAGAAUCAACCGUGUUUCUCGCAUCGCAUCUGUGUUGCCGUGUUGGUAGCCCCAAGAAAUUGAUUUUCAAUAUUGGUAUGUACCUACUUGCUCAUCUGGCCGGAUUUUUUUAUGGAACAACAUAUGGCUGGGAUCCGUCUCCUGCUUGGAAAAUCAGAUUACAUGCGUCCGUCCGUGCAAUUGAUUCACAGCCCUUACUUUCAAAAUCAUGUAUUUGUCUUUGUCGACAACUCCAAUCGUGAGGUCUGUAC
rnacentral:lncRNA from 1 species